rnacentral:piRNA from 1 species
UUAAUCUGAGCAAUGCGAUUGUGG